UACGUAGGGUGCAAGCGUUGUCCGGAAUUAUUGGGCGUAAAGAGCUCGUAGGCGGUCUGUUGCGUCGGCUGUGAAAACCCGGGGCUCAACUCCGGGCCUGCAGCCGAUACGGGCAGACUAGAGGCAGGUAGGGGAGAAUGGAAUUCCCGGUGUAGCGGUGAAAUGCGCAGAUAUCGGGAGGAACACCGGUGGCGAAGGCGGUUCUCUGGGCCUGACCUGACGCUGAGGAGCGAAAGCGUGGGGAGCGAACAGG
rnacentral:rRNA from 1 species